CCCUCCUCGCCCGCGCGCACGUGGCGUCCUCGGUCCCGCGGCGCGUGCCGUGAUCUGGGGUCGGUGAGCGUUUCCGUCCUUGCGCGCGCCGGUGCGUGGCGGUCGCUGCCCAGGGACUGCCUCGGGCCCCCUGCCUUCCCUUCUGCUGUUGACGUGGGGCUUCCUCCCGGGCGGGAAGCGGCGUGUGGCUGUUCCCGCCGCACCCCUCCCCUCAGAGCAGUGAGGCUCCCGCGGCCCGCCUGCAGUGGCCGCUGAAGGGCCGUGAGUCCCCGGCAGUCCCGCCCCCCGGGAGCCCAGAGUCCUGAAGGGAAACACGAGCCUGCGCCCCGAAGUGUCCUUGGAGGAAAAGACAUGAUGCAGAUUUCACCACGGGUUCCUCCCUUGUGGGAUCCAGAUCUUGUGUAAACAGCUGGCGAGGCUGCGGCCGGCGGCUCAGUGGGUGAGAGCCUCCCCCCGCGCGCCCAGGUGGCGGCCGGACCCGGACCCUGGUCGGGGCACAGACAGGAAUCCACCGCUGAUGGGGAUGCGCCAGGAAGUGGGCCAACAAGCAGAUGCCUCCCUCUGGCUUCCCAGCCCCCUCUUGUCUUCUAUCUCUAAAAUCAAUUAAAAAAUAAAAUAA